AUGGAUAGCUAGCGUGCGCAUCCCAGACACAGACAUACGUCCGGCGGCAGAUAGCUCUGCCGUGCUUAUCGAUCAGAUCGCGUGAGUAAUACUCAUCUUCGGCACUCGAAACCGACGCAUAUCGGGGCAGCACAUCGCCGACCUUAACUUCUUUCCUUGACGCCAAUCAUGACGCUCACAACGACCCCUGCGCCGACCUUCAGCUCCAAGAAGGAGCUGUACGACUGGCUGGUGAAGCAGGUGGAGGCAUUGGUGCAUGAUAUGAGCAAGCGCUUCACUCCGCAGGCGAACCUGGUCAUUGGCCUCAGCAACGUCGCGGCGCUCUGCUUUUACGAGCUGAACCGGUUCUGCAACCCCGAAGCGGCGCUGGAGAAGCUCAAGGUCAACUGGUUCGGCUUCUACCUCUUCCAAGCGCCUGGGCUGCUCGCUCUCGGGCCCUUCCAAGGCCGUCCUGCCUGCACGGAGAUUCGCGUUGGGAAAGGCGUCUGUGGCACUGUCGCGGAGAGCGGUGAACCGCUAGUGGUGCAGAGCGUGCACGAGUUUCCCGGCCACAUCGCGUGCGACUCGGCGUCGAAGUCGGAGAUUGCCGUGCCUGUGCUGAUUGAGAACGGAAGCGUCGUCGCCGUGAUCGACGUGGACAGCACGGAGCUAGACCACUUUUCGGAGGAGGACAAGGAGGGCCUGGAGCGCAUGGCCGCAGUGCUCGCGCAGCACCUCGACUUUCCCAUGGCAAGGGCUCUGGCAGUGAACCCGGCGCUCGGGCUACCUGGCUACUCCGCACUGGCCGGUGGCGAUAAGGCGUUGCAGCCGCACGGCGACGCCGAGGCGGUCCCGCAGGCUGCACCCGUGACCACCACCACGACGGCACCGGCAACCACCACGGCUCUGACGCGCAUUCCUUUCUUUAAGGUGGAGGUGAAACAGCCGGACGUCACCACUAAAUGCGUGCGUGGGUGGCAGUUCACUCGCACAAAUCUCGACCGCAUCAUGACGCAGGACGAGGCAAAGCAGCUGCAGGACUCGCUCGGCAUCUCGGCGCUGCCGGAAAUUGCCUUUCAGGGCAAGACGCUCUCGGUGAGCCCAGAGUCUGAUCGAGAGCACCCCUGGCUGCACUUCAGUGUUGAGGCGCUCAUGUGCAGCGCUUCCGAGUACUACCAGACGGAGGAGUUCAAGACACUGGUACACCCGCAGCUCCGCAUCCCAGUUUCGCCGGGCUGGGAGUCGUUCCACUUCGAGAAGUACGACCCAAAGGUGGACUGGGCGUGGCGCAACAACUUCUGCGGGCUCGUCCCUGAGCGAGGGCGCCUCGUGGAGCGCCCGAGAGACGCCGCGGACGCACCGGGAAUCAACUGGGACAUCUUGAAAGACACAAGCCUUCCGAUUCUCUUCUACGGUGAUUUCGACAUGAUGGAGGACGACCUGCACGAUCACGGCAUGGUGACGAGCAGCGUCAAGUACCGCGUGAUGAGCUCCGCUUUCUUUGUUCUCUUCCGCCAUUUUGUGCGCGUCGACAACCACGAAGUUUGGAUGCGUGAGGUGCGAGUCUUUCACGAGUUUGGGAAGACUCGCACGCCGUCUGGGGUGCCGCACAUCGUCUUUCUGGAGCAACUGCGCCAUGCGCGCAUUGCGGAGUCGGUGGAAGGCGUCGACUGGAAGUCCAUGUCCCCCGACGCCAUCUCCGCCAAGGCCACGGUCCUUCUUUCGCGUGAGUGGAUGCUGGAGAAGGCGGCGACGCCAUAGCAACGUGUGCUACGGGUGAGCUUCCCCUUGUUGCGUACUGCGGCCUGUGUGCCAGACUUGUGUACACCGAGCUGCUCCAACGCAGGGCUGGCGUGGCUGGUGCAGCUGCCGCUUCUCUGCCCCUUUUCGUGCUUCCCGCCACUCUUUUUUCGUUUCGUGUGUUGCCCUCUCUGUGCGCGUCGAACUCGCUACCGCCGGCUCACGGCACUUUGCUCGUGCACGCCAUCGCCUCCCCACACACUCCCCGUCCAUUCCGUGAUGCCCGCGUUGCAGCUUUUUGUGUAGUGGUGGGGUGGCUCUCCUGAUGCGCGGUGCUCGCCUCUCGUGUUUCCUGUGUCUCUCUGCUUGUGCAGUGAUGGCCACGUGCACCUUUCGGACUUGUCUCUCUUCCUCUCUCCGUGCGGGCACCUCUACAUGUGCUUCACAAGCGCACGCACACAGACGCGCCCGUCCCUCUGCUGCACCGCCUCUUGCCCUCCCUAUCGGGUGCUUAAGGGUGAUGUGCUCUCCCCUAUUCCUCUCGCAUGCAGCCGCAGACAGAGGCACACAGUGCGCUUAACCCACAGAGGAAGCGUAGCCGCGGCAUGUAAUGGCAAAGGCAGGCGCGCUUAG
rnacentral:misc_RNA from 1 species